GGGGUAGGGUGGUGGGUGGAUGACACUGUGCCGAGAUGAGAACAAGGUGAAGGCUGUGCACAUACCUGGAGGAAGGGUGUCUCAGACAGAGAACUCAGAAUAUUGCAGCAGGAAAAAGACGGUUAUCCAGAGAACAGAGCAAACAGCUGGUGGGAAGGGUGGAAGUCCUUCUGACAUGAGGCUAGCAACCUCUUGAGUGGUCUUGGUCGGCCAAGGCAGGAGUCUGUUUGUACCCUCGUGGCUCCCACUGUGCCAUGGCUCCCACUGUGCCGAGGAAGAAACUGAAAGCCUGAGGUCAUAUAGCUGGUCAGUGGUUAAACCAGGGCUAGAACCCUGGUGGGGUUUUGAUUCCCAGGUACCUAGGGGGCUCGAGAAAAGUGGGUGAGAGGGCAGUGGCCAGAAGGCCAGGAGAAUCCCAGCCAAGGAAGACGACCAACUUGGGGUG